AUUGAACGCUGGCGGCAGGCCUAACACAUGCAAGUCGAACGGAAACAGGAAGAAGCUUGCUUCUUUGCUGACGAGUGGCGGACGGGUGAGUAAUGUCUGGGAAACUGCCUGAGGGAGGGGGAUAACUACUGGAAACGGUAGCUAAUACCGCAUAACGUCGCAAGACCAAAGAGGGGGACCUUCGGGGCUCUUGCCAUCGGAUGUGCCCAGAUGGGAUUAGCUAGUAGGUGGGGUAACGGCUCACCUAGGCGACGAUCCCUAGCUGGUCUGAGAGGAUGACCAGCCACACUGGAACUGAGACACGGUCCAGACUCCUACGGGAGGCAGCAGUGGGGAAUAUUGCACAAUGGGCGCAAGCCUGAUGCAGCCAUGCCGCGUGUAUGAAGAAGGCCUUCGGGUUGUAAAGUACUUUCAGCGGGGAGGAAGGGAGUAAAGUUAAUACCUUUGCUCAUUGACGUUACCCGCAGAAGAAGCACCGGCUAACUCCGUG
rnacentral:rRNA from 1 species